GGAGGCAGCAGUCGGGAAUUUUGGGCUAUGGGCGAAAGCCUGACCCAGCAACGCCGCGUGAGGGAUGAAGUAUUUCGGUAUGUAAACCUCGAAAGAAUAGGAAGAAUAAAUGACGGUACUAUUUAUAAGCUCCGGCUAACUACGUGCCAGCAGCCGCGGUAAUACGUAGGGAGCAAGCGUUGUUCGGAUUUACUGGGCGUAAAGGGCGCGUGGGCGGCAUAUUAAGUCAGCUGUGAAAUCUCCGGGCUUAACCCGGAGCGGCCAAGUGAUACUGUCGUGCUAGAGUGCGGAAGGGGCUACUGGAAUUCUCGGUGUAGCGGUGAAAUGCGUAGAUAUCCGAGAGGAACACCUGCGGCGAAGGCGGGUAGCUGGGCCGACACUGACGCUGAGGGCGCGAAAGCCAGGGGAGCCGCCCACCCGGCGAUUUAGAUGCCCCGGUAGUCCUGGCCCUAAACGAUGAAUGCUUGGUGUGGCGGGUAUCGAUCCCUGCUGUGCCGAAGCUAACGCAUUAAGCAUUCCGCCUGGGGAUGUACGGUCCGCCCCAGGCUGAAACUCAAAGGUAAUUG
rnacentral:rRNA from 1 species